GCCGGACUUCCUCCGGGGAACUAACCCUCCGAUCAGCAAAGGGGGUGCCCAGCCACCGGCGCGCACACUUUCCGCUGCACGCUGAGGAUGACGACCUCGGAGAGGUGUGUGUAUGGGGAAUAGAGGCGUCAGUGUGAGAUGGGACUGAUACCCGGCACGGAGGUGGCGAAUCUGUUCGGGUGAGCCUCCAAAGCCCCCUUUGGCCACCUCCAAUCAAGGAGACAUUAAAGGAGGGGAAGAGAGGAUAUCCAGUGACCUGCUUCUGGCACAUUUGAUGCUUUCCAUUGCCUGCCAAGAACCAUCCCACUUUGGAACAGGAAGGCCUGCCAACUCCUAGGCCAGCAACAGUCGACAGAUAUGUCCAGCAGGAUGGAGAGAUGAUUUGCCAAGUGAUUGAAAGGUCCUGUCUUCCUGUUUACAGAAAGUUUCCUCAAGUUAGGGGCUUGGAGCUUACAGACUUAGAUUUGUCCCCAGCAACCUUUGUAAAUUAAACACCAGAGACGAGAGUAAAGUGAGAGCCAUCCCAGAUCAGCACCUUCCUCCAUCAAUCACCAAGUCCUGUCCCUCUCAUAAAUCCACUGUCCCCCACCCUGGUCUAGACCCUGUGUCUUGAAAUUACUGAACAGUCUCCCAACAAUCUUCGCCCAUUCUCCUCUAGCAGUCAGAGUGGCCUUUCUCAAAUGCAAAUAUGAGCAAGUCUCUGUCAGGCUUCAUUACCGCCCCCCCUCCCCAACACCACCAACCAGGACUCCUCAUUCCCCUUAAAGGAACUGCUCCCCCCUCCCCAACUUCUUUUGGAAAAUUUCUAUUCAUCUUUCAAGUCUCAGGUGAAAUGUCACUUUCUCUUGGAAGGCUUCUCUGAUUCUCUAUACCUGCCCUGUGGAGUCAAGUGACCUUCCCAAGCUUCCAUGACACUCACUGCACUUAUCACACGUGCUGUAUGGAGGUUGCUGUUUAACUGCUUAUCUUUGCUACAACUCAAGAAAUCCAUUUUAUAUCAAGACCCAGGCCACACAUACCUUUACGUAUAUAAAAACAUAUGUAACUGAAAAAAAGUUUUAUAAACUCUUAUUUUGUAAAAUCCUAUCCUACUUCAUUUAAAACAAAAUCUAGGCACACUUUAUUACAUUGAUCUCAUAACCCUUAAAUGGGUCAGGGCUCCUAGUGUUAGAAAAUACUCUAAAUUCCAUGAAGGGUGUAGCCAUUUCUAUCUUGUUCAUGGUAAUUGGAGUGGAAUAGGAGCUUCAUCAAUAGAUGAAUGCUAGAAUUAUUAUAUCAACAUUCAAUUCCUUUCAUCCUCAAAAACCCUAUGAAGAAACUCUCUUCCCCAUUUAUAGAUUUAUAGGUGAGCAUGCUGAAGAUGGUGAGGUUAAGUCCCUUGCUUAAUGUAAAAAAGCUGAAAAGCCAGGUGGCAGAGUCAGGCUUUGAACCUGGGUAGUUUGGCUUCAUCAUCCUAGCUCUUAGUCACUCAGCUAAAAUUCAGUAUCCCUUGGCCCAGAGGCAUAUGGACGAAUUUACCUGGCAAAAAUACCAGAGGGGUCUCCUUGCAGCAACCUCAAACUCCUUCCACCUCCUGUCCUGCAGCGGCUCCUCGGGCAGCAGUUGUGUCUAUGCAGAGAGGAAGGCAGCUGGCAAGAGCAGCUGUUCUCUUCUGCUCACAUGUGCUCGACCUCCUCAACUGUCAACAAGUUCAGCGGUAUUCAGCAAGUUGGGAGAUUUCAUUGUGCAGAGAGUACAGACGGCUCAGAAAAUGAAACUCCCCAUUGCUCUGAACUACAUGCCUUUAGUUCCCCUCAGAACAAAUCCUUGAAGAAGAUAGUCACUGUGAGAUUGGGUUGUUCAGUUUUGUCCUGGAUGGGAAACUGCAGCAAUACUCAAAG